rnacentral:rRNA from 1 species
GACGAACGCUGGCGGCGUGCCUAAUACAUGCAAGUAGGACGCAGUUGCGCACGGGGGAGUAACACGUGUGUAACUGCCUAUUAGAGGGGGAUAACUAUUGUAAACGCUAGCUAAUACCGCAUACUAGUUGAUGGACCUACGUUGUCUUAGUUAGUAGGUUGGGAAAUGGCCUACCAAGGCAACGAUUCAUAGCCGACCUUGGAGGGUGAUCGGCCACACGUGGACUGAGGCACGGGCCAGACUCCUACGGGAGGGCGCAGUAGGGAAUCUUCGGCAAUGGGGGGAACCCUGAACGAGCAACGCCGCGUGAGUGAAGAAGGUUUUCGGAUCGUAAAGCUAUGUUGUUAAGGAAGCGGUACUUAACCAGAAAGGGACGGCUAACUACGUGCCAGCAGCCGCGGUAAUUC